GUGCUCACUUCAGCAGCACAUACUAAAAUUGGAAUGAUACGAGAAGAACAGCAGGGCCCCUGCACAAGGAUGACACAAAAAGCCAUGAAGUAUUCCAUAUUUUU
ensembl:snRNA U6 U6 spliceosomal RNA